ACGGGUGAGUAACACGUGGGCAACCUGCCCUUGAGACUGGGAUAACUUCGGGAAACCGGAGCUAAUACCGGAUAAUAUGAGGAACCUCCUGGUUCUUUAUUGAAAGAUGGUUUCGGCUAUCACUUAAGGAUGGGCCCGCGGCGCAUUAGCUAGUUGGUGAGGUAACGGCUCACCAAGGCGACGAUGCGUAGCCGACCUGAGAGGGUGAUCGGCCACACUGGGACUGAGACACGGCCCAGACUCCUACGGGAGGCAGCAGUAGGGAAUCUUCCACAAUGGACGAAAGUCUGAUGGAGCAACGCCGCGUGAGUGAUGAAGGCCUUCGGGUCGUAAAGCUCUGUUGUUAGGGAAGAACAAGUGCGAGAGUAACUGCUCGCACCUUGACGGUACCUAACCAGAAAGCCACGGCUAACUACGUGCCAGCAGCCGCGGUAAUACGUAGGUGGCAAGCGUUAUCCGGAAUUAUUGGGCGUAAAGCGCGCGCAGGUGGUUUCUUAAGUCUGAUGUGAAAGCCCACGGCUCAACCGUGGAGGGUCAUUGGAAACUGGGGAACUUGAGUGCAGAAGAGGAAAGUGG
rnacentral:rRNA from 1 species